rnacentral:pre_miRNA from 1 species
AAAGAGAUCGAACCGCUGCAGUUCGACGGGGCCUGUCGAACAGGGCAGUUCGACAGGCCCCUGUCGAAUACCACCAGUUCGACUGGCUC